UCCUUUUGCAAAAAAAAAAAAAAAGAAAAAAAAAAAAAAAGAAAGAGGGAGGGAGAUGGACUGGCUAGGAGAGAGCGAGAGCGAGAUUGAGGAAGAGGAGGGAGAGAGUUUUGGCGUCGGCCGCCCUUGGGUGCUGGGCCCCAACAGUGGGCCGCCGCCCGCCUGAGCAGUGUCGGGUCCGGCCCCGCUUGGCCAGGCCUGCACCCGGCCUGCUGGUCUCCGGGUCUCCCCACCCCGGCACCCUCCGAAUGUGGAUGCCCCAAAGCAGUGAGCGCCCCUGUGGGCAAGGGUCAGCACGGAUGCGAGAGUCCCUGGUUGCUGUGGGUGCAUGCUUAAGGAGCAGGUGGGGGAAAGGAGUGAUGAGAGAGUCACCCUCCCCUUGGCGACAUUAGCUCUGCUGCCCAGAAAGCCUGGGCAAGCUGCUUGGGAGUCUGUGGCCUUGGCAGACUAGCUCCCCUUCAUCACAGAGCCGCAGGGAGGGGACAGAUGCGCCAGCAGACGUGCUUGAGCAGAGCCUGCCCAGGAGAAUCCCGACACAGUGUUUGAGCAAGAAAGAGAGCGGCAAAUCGAGGAGAGAGGUGAGCAAAAGCCCUAAAGGGGCAUUUUAGACAAGAGGCCACGCAAAUCUUCGCAUGGCCAGGAAAGACAAAAGGAGCUCAACACCACGGGUCAUGCGGGAAAUGCAAAUAAAACCACGGCGAGAUACCACUUCACCUGCUACAGCAGCCCGUGUGCCCUGGUGUCUGUGUGCUCCGGUGUCUGAGUGCUCCUGUGUCUGUGCGAUCCGGUGUUUGUAUGAUCCAGGGGCUGUGUGCUCUGGUGUC